AACGAACGCUGGCGGCAUGCCUAACACAUGCAAGUCGAACGAGACCUUCGGGUAUAGUGGCGCACGGGUGCGUAACGCGUGGGAACCUGCCCUUAGGUUCGGAAUAACUCCCCGAAAGGGGUGCUAAUACCGGAUAAUGUCUUCGGACCAAAGAUUUAUCGCCUUUGGAUGGGCCCGCGUUGGAUUAGCUAGUUGGUAGGGUAAAAGCCUACCAAGGCGACGAUCCAUAGCUGGUCUGAGAGGAUGAUCAGCCACACUGGGACUGAGACACGGCCCAGACUCCUACGGGAAGCAGCAGUGGGGAAUAUUGGACAAUGGGCGAAAGCCUGAUCCAGCAAUGCCGCGUGAGUGAUGAAGGCAUUAGGGUUGUAAAGCUCUUUUAACCGGGAUGAUAAUGACAGUACCGGGAGAAUAAGCACCGGCUAACUCCGUG
rnacentral:rRNA from 1 species